CUCUAUUUCAGUGUCACCCUCCUGCAGUCAGCAGCAAGUCAGUAUGGAGGCUACAACUCUCUGCUUCAGGCUGUUGAUGCUUGAAUUCCUGCUGGAGAUUCACAUUCAGUCCACUUAUACUCUCAAAAGUGGUGCAGCUUUGCUUCGAGUCGAUCCAAACAGACUUCAACACUUUGACUACGAGUCUUUGUCUUUUCACUGUGAGGGAAGCGAAGGUUCCAUUGAACUAAGAGGAUCCAGGAACUCUGAGGAGAUUUUUCCCCUUUUCCAGUCUGACUCUGAAAUGGAAUAUUUUGCAAGAUCCUGAACACUGCAGACUAGGAACACCCCACAAGAGCUGCAGUUCUGGAGAUGCUCUGACCCAGUUGUCUAACACAUCAACUUUGAGGACAAAAUGUUCACUUUCUGCCUAAUAUAUCCAACCCACUAAUAAUAGCCAUGAUGAAGAAAUAAUCAGUGUUAUUCACUUCAGCUGUUAGUGGUCAUAUUGUUAUGUCUGAUCAGUGUAUGCUCAUAUUUAUCAAUGCAUUAAAUCCAAGCAGCAAAUUUCCGAGAUUUAAGAAAUAAAGCCAAUAGUGAAGUGCAGUUUCUUAAAUGUCCAAUGAGUCUGGGUCCAGAAGUGAAUUAAUCCCCACAGAUUCCAAUGUUAAAAUAUCAAACUUUAUAUCAGAAAUAAACAUGAGUGCAGCCUGUAAUAAAAAUGGGCUUGGUGUCUAUAGCUAAAAUGCAAUUUAGUUGUAUAAAAUUGUAGUUUUUGGGAGACAAAGCUGAUGAGUAACUUCUCAUUCUGUCACUCUUUUAAAAUUCUUUGUAACCUAUUUGUUUUUAU